UACAGAGGGUGCGAGCGUUAAUCGGAAUUACUGGGCGUAAAGCGCGCGUAGGCGGCUUUGCAAGUCGGGUGUGAAAUCCCCAGGCUCAACCUGGGAACUGCAUUCGAGACUGCAUUGCUAGAGUAUGGGAGAGGGAAGUGGAAUUUCCGGUGUAGCGGUGAAAUGCGUAGAUAUCGGAAGGAACAUCAGUGGCGAAAGCGACUUCCUGGACCAAUACUGACGCUCAUGUGCGAAAGCCAGGGGAGCAAACGGG
rnacentral:rRNA from 1 species